rnacentral:tRNA from 1 species
CAAAUUAAAGCUUAAAAGUAUUUCAUUUACAUUGAAAAGGUAUUGAUUAUAUUCAAUUAAUUUGA